UCACCUUUAGGAAGAAGGGAGCAAGUGUAAAUCAAGGAAGUAGAUACAGAAGUCCUGGAAGAGCACGGGGCUCUUUUCUGGAACGUGGAAUCACAGAAUGAGCCGAGUUGGAAGGGACCCACAAGGACCAUCAAGUGCAACCUCUAGCCCUGCACAGGACCAUCCCCAAGAGUCACAGCAUUUGAUCUUCCAAUGGAAAUUGGAGGCACACAUAGGCCUGCCAGAAUGCCGGGGGGGGGGGGGUUGUGUCUUCCUGGAAUAGUGGUUGCAGAAAGACAGGUGACAUUACAUGUAUCAUAAGGAAUGACAUAAAGCAUAUUUGGGCAACUGAUUGAAACCAAAGUUGUCAGAGAAUUGCUCUACAGACUCUGUUAACUGUAUAUACUAAAUCUCCAGUGAUUACAGUUGGACCUUAUAUUGUGAGGUUUUAUGGAGAAACAGACUUAUGGGCUUACCAUGCUUCAAAAGUCCUUCCCAAGCUGGAACAUCAUAUUAUAAUGUUGACACUGAGUGGUCUGAAUUUUACCUUUAGUGAUUCAUAUUAAAAUAUUUUCUAAGAAAAUUUAUUGUGUAGCAUGAGAGUUAUGUACUGUGAGAAUACCUGGAAGAAACACAAAUAAUACUUACAGAUUGCACUUGGAGCUGCAGAUCAUUUUUUUCUUGCAUUAGAGAAGCCAUUUUCUCCUCCAGCUCCUUCCGCUUUGCCUCAGACUUUGCAAGCUCUUCCUUGGUUUUCUCAAACUCUCCCUUCAUGUUGGCCAUCUCCUUCUCAGACUCUGCACUCUUCAGCAAGGGCUUGAUCUUGAAGAA